ACUCCUACGGGAGGCAGCAGUGGGGAAUUUUGGACAAUGGGGGCAACCCUGAUCCAGCCAUGCCGCGUGAGUGAAGAAGGCCUUCGGGUUGUAAAGCUCUUUCGGCCGGGAAGAAAUCGUGGUCUCUAACAUAGGCCAUGGAUGACGGUACCGGACUAAGAAGCACCGGCUAACUACGUGCCAGCAGCCGCGGUAAUACGUAGGGUGCGAGCGUUAAUCGGAAUUACUGGGCGUAAAGCGUGCGCAGGCGGUUUUGUAAGACAGAUGUGAAAUCCCCGGGCUUAACCUGGGAACUGCGUUUGUGACUGCAAGGCUAGAGUACGGCAGAGGGGGGUGGAAUUCCUGGUGUAGCAGUGAAAUGCGUAGAUAUCAGGAGGAACACCGAUGGCGAAGGCAGCCCCCUGGGCCUGUACUGACGCUCAUGCACGAAAGCGUGGGGAGCAAACAGGAUUAGAUACCCUGGUAGUC
rnacentral:rRNA from 1 species